CAGGGAAUAGUUUAAGUAGAACUUCAGCUUUGGGAGUUGAUGGUGGGGCAGUUGCUUCUUCCUUGA
rnacentral:tRNA from 1 species